CAUUAACUGAAGCUAAAGUAUGUAUCAAUCAUUGGUUUCUUAACUCUGUCUCUAAAAGAUGCUAAAACACAUUGAGACAGUAGCUGGCAUAAAAAUCCACAUAUAAAUUAACAGUGGCAUGGAAAAGGCCCAUACUCUAGGGUUGCCAUCAUACUGUAAACAGAGCCUCAGAGAACUCUGCAUCACUGGAGGAGUAUGCCUAGGUUGAUGUGGAAGUGAGAGGGAACACAGCAAGCUGCUUUGCUAAAGCACGUGGAUGGGAGCCAAGAGAAGCACCUGUUCUAAUUCUUGUUAAUUGCUUCCUAGCAGGAACAGUCUCCACACAGCCUGCUCAAGAAGAACCAGCUUGAAAAGUAAGUUACGCCGGAAAAAAUUCAACAGCAAUUAGGAAAUGGUCAUUGUGUUGUGAAAUUUAUAUUCACUCACAAACAGUAGUUACAGUCAACUCACCACAAUAUCUCUACACCUCACAUGUAUUCACAGGCAGUAGACAAGCUAGUCAAAGCUGGUUGCUGCGACAGUAGUUUUCUAUUGCCUAUAGGUUUUCUUCACUGUGCAUAUGGGCAUAUGCAGGGAAAUCAUAAAUGUAAUCACUUCCUGCACAAAAGAUGUUAGGGAAUUCUACCUACAAUCCUAAUCCACCUUUAUUCACAAAAAGCCCACACUGAUAACCAACCUUGCAAGAAAAAAUAUUCACAGCUAGAUUUGAAUUUCUACUAUGCAUUGUGCCCUCCUAUAAUGUAUGGAGUCGACCCUGAGCUAUGGUACAUGGGUCUUCAAGUGAUGAUAGUUAGUUUUUAGAUAUCCUUUCUAGAGAACCCUGCACAAAUGCUUACAAAUGUAAAUGAGAUCCAUUUUCAAAAACAGCUUUCAUGUCUACUAAUGUGCUGUAGUGUCUUUUUUUUUUAAGUUUAGGAUAUAUCCCUAAUGCCAGUUAACCAUUUUGUUUGAUGAUUUCAUUCCCUCUUUUUAGCCUGUGCGGUCUUCUUGGUUCCACCUACAAAAAAAUAUUUCCAAAAAUCAUAUGCCAUAGUGCUAGGAAAGUGCUUUAAUUUGCAUCAAACUGUGCCUGCUUGUCUUUUACCAGAAACAAACUUUUUGUUGGAACAUUCGGUCUUUUGUUGGAACUACACAGAGACACUGUGGCUGCCUGAACUGCUGCUUAUAUGGUUAAUGGGGCUCCAGGAGCCCCUAAGGUACCUAGGGCUGGGAUGCACUCAAUGCUUGAGAAGUUUGUUUUUUUAAAGAGACAGAGUGUGGCUUGCAUUGUUUGUAUUAUGUUAUAGCCCAGGGGCUUGUUUUUCUGUUGUCUUUUAUAUCGGUGGACCGGGCUGAGUCUACUGGGGAGGAGGAGACGUCAUUGGGACACACUACUGUGUAGAGCCCCAGCACCAGCGAAGAGGCCUAUGGAAAUACUCCAAGCACAUCACUGACCUGCUAGAAAAAGAAGUUGACAAGCAACUAGAUGUUAAAAUGAGAAUAACAUAAUCAGCAAUAUUGCGAAUGCACAUAAAGUUAUUUUGCAUCAAACUAAAUUGACAGUAGCAACUUCUGAGUGCUCAGCAUCCUUGAAAAUCAGAAAAAAGUCUUUUCUUCACUACUACAUCUGGCUGAGAAAGGAAGAAGAAAUUUUGUGAAAUUCUUCUUCAAUUUCAAAUAUCCUUUUCAUCUUGAAGAGUUCAAAGUAGGCCUUUGUGAUUUGAUAUAAUUUUGUCAUAUUUUCGUACAAAUUGUUCUUGAAAUUAUUAUGAGAACUAUUCUGAAAACAGUUUUAAAAUGUUUUGUUUUGUCAUUGUCCCUCCACCCCCACCCCACAAAUACAGUAAAUA